rnacentral:rRNA from 1 species
GKKSKCSKSMRGGGYGSAGSSCUUACGGAAGGGUGCAUUUAUUAGAACAAAACCAAGCGACUUCGGUCGUUUUUYGUUGACUCAGAAUAACUAAGCUGAUCGCAUGGUCUUGCACUGGARACGKGKCUUUCAAGUAUCUGCCUUAUCAACUUUCGAUGGUAGUGUAUCUGACUACCAUGGUGGUGACGGGUAACGGAGGARAAGGGUUUGACUCCGGAGAAGGGGCCUGAGAAAUGGCCACUACGUCUAAGGAUGGCAGCAGGCGCGCAAAUUACCCACUCUCAGAACGAGGAGGUAGUGACGAAAAAUAACGAGACCGUUCUCUACGAGGCCGGUCAUCGGAAUGGGUACAAUCUAAACCCUUUAACGAGUAUCUAUGAGAGGGCAAGUCUGGUGCCAGCAGCCGCGGUAAUUCCAGCUCUCAAAAUGCAUAGAAUUWUUGCUGCGGUUAAAAAGCUCGUAGUUGGAUCUGUGCUGAGGACCUGGUCCACCUUCGGGUGCGUACUAGGCUCCACGGCUUUUCUGCCGGUUUUCCCGUCAUGGCUUUCAUCGGCUGUGGCGGGUGGCUGGUGAUUUUACUUUGAACAAAUCAGAGUGCUUCAAACAGGCGUUUAGCUUGAAUGUUUUUGCAUGGAAUAAUAGAAGAGGAUUUCGGUUCUAUUUUAUUGGUUUUAUAGACUGAAAUAAUGKUUAACAGAGACCAACSGGGGGCAUUCGUACUGUUGCGUGAGARGGUGAAAAU